CAGCAGCCGCGGUAACACGGAGGGUGCAAGCGUUAAUCGGAAUUACUGGGCGUAAAGCGUGCGUAGGCGGUUCGUUAAGUCUGUUGUGAAAGCCCCAGGCUCAACCUGGGAAUGGCAAUGGAUACUGGCGAGCUAGAGUGUGUCAGAGGAUGGUGGAAUUCCCGGUGUAGCGGUGAAAUGCGUUGAGAUCGGAAAGAACACCAACGGCGAAAGCACUCUGCUGGGCCGACACUGACACUGAGAGACGAAAGCUAGGGGAGCAAAUGGGAUUAGAUACCCGUGUAGUCCCUGUCUCUUAUAC
rnacentral:rRNA from 1 species